CUGGCUCAGGAUGAACGCYGGCGGUGUGCCUAAUACAUGCAAGUCGAACGCGUUGGCCCAAUUGAUUGAYGGUGCUUGCACCUGAUUGAUUUUGGUCGCCAACGAGUGGCGGACGGGUGAGUAACACGUAGGUAACCUGCCCAGAAGCGGGGGACAACAUUUGGAAACAGAUGCUAAUACCGCAUAACARCGUUGUUCGCAUGAACAACGCUUAAAAGAUGGCUUCUCGCUAUCACUUCUGGAUGGACCUGCGGUGCAUUAGCUUGUUGGUGGGGUAACGGCCUACCAAGGCGAUGAUGCAUAGCCGAGUUGAGAGACUGAUCGGCCACAAUGGGACUGAGACACGGCCCAUACUCCUACGGGAGGCAGCAGUAGGGAAUCUUCCACAAUGGGCGCAAGCCUGAUGGAGCAACACCGCGUGAGUGAAGAAGGGUUUCGGCUCGUAAAGCUCUGUUGUUAAAGAAGAACACGUAUGAGAGUAACUGUUCAUACGUUGACGGUAUUUAACCAGAAAGUCACGGCUAACUACGUGCCAGCAGCCGCGGUAAUACGUAGGUGGCAAGCGUUAUCCGGAUUUAUUGGGCGUAAAGAGAGUGCAGGCGGUUUUCUAAGUCUGAUGUGAAAGCCUUCGGCUUAACCGGAGAAGUGCAUCGGAAACUGGAUAACUUGAGUGCAGAAGAGGGUAGUGGAACUCCAUGUGUAGCGGUGGAAUGCGUAGAUAUAUGGAAGAACACCAGUGGCGAAGGCGGCUACCUGGUCUGCAACUGACGCUGAGACUCGAAAGCAUGGGUAGCGAACAGGAUUAGAUACCCUGGUAGUCCAUGCCGUAAACGAUGAGUGCUAGGUGUUGGAGGGUUUCCGCCCUUCAGUGCCGGAGCUAACGCAUUAAGCACUCCGCCUGGGGAGUACGACCGCAAGGUUGAAACUCAAAGGAAUUGACGGGGGCCCGCACAAGCGGUGGAGCAUGUGGUUUAAUUCGAAGCUACGCGAAGAACCUUACCAGGUCUUGACAUCUUGCGCCAACCCUAGAGAUAGGGCGUUUCCUUCGGGAACGCAAUGACAGGUGGUGCAUGGUCGUCGUCAGCUCGUGUCGUGAGAUGUUGGGUUAAGUCCCGCAACGAGCGCAACCCUUGUUACUAGUUGCCAGCAUUAAGUUGGGCACUCUAGUGAGACUGCCGGUGACAAACCGGAGGAAGGUGGGGACGACGUCAGAUCAUCAUGCCCCUUAUGACCUGGGCUACACACGUGCUACAAUGGACGGUACAACGAGUCGCGAACUCGCGAGGGCAAGCAAAUCUCUUAAAACCGUUCUCAGUUCGGACUGCAGGCUGCAACUCGCCUGCACGAAGUCGGAAUCGCUAGUAAUCGCGGAUCAGCAUGCCGCGGUGAAUACGUUCCCGGGCCUUGUACACACCGCCCGUCACACCAUGAGAGUUUGUAACACCCAAAGUCGGUGGGGUAACCUUUUAGGAGCCAGCCGCCUAAGGUGGGACAGAUGAUUAGGGUGAAGUCGUAAC
rnacentral:rRNA from 2 species